rnacentral:rRNA from 1 species
UACGUAGGGGGCUAGCGUUGCCCGGAAUCAUUGGGCGUAAAGAGCGUGUAGGCGGCCCGGUAAGUCCGCUGUGAAAGUCGGGGGCUCAACCCUCGGAUGCCGGUGGAUACUGUCGGGCUCGAGUACGGAAGAGGCGAGUGGAAUUCCUGGUGUAGCGGUGAAAUGCGCAGAUAUCAGGAGGAACACCUAUUGCGAAGGCAGCUCGCUGGGACGUUACUGACGCUGAGACGCGAAAACGUGGGGAGCGAACAGG